rnacentral:rRNA from 1 species
ACCUUCGGGCCUCUUGCCAUCGGAUGUGCCCAGAUGGGAUUAGCUAGUAGGUGGGGUAAAGGCUCACCUAGGCGACGAUCCCUAGCUGGUCUGAGAGGAUGACCAGCCACACUGGAACUGAGACACGGUCCAGACUCCUACGGGAGGCAGCAGUGGGGAAUAUUGCACAAUGGGCGCAAGCCUGAUGCAGCCAUGCCGCGUGUAUGAAGAAGGCCUUCGGGUUGUAAAGUACUUUCAGCGGGGAGGAAGGGAGUAAAGUUAAUACCUUUGCUCAUUGACGUUACCCGCAGAAGAAGCACCGGCUAACUCCGUGCCAGCAGCCGCGGUAAUACGGAGGGUGCAAGCGUUAAUCGGAAUUACUGGGCGUAAAGCGCACGCAGGCGGUUUGUUAAGUCAGAUGUGAAAUCCCCGGGCUCAACCUGGGAACUGCAUCUGAUACUGGCAAGCUUGAGUCUCGUAGA